rnacentral:rRNA from 1 species
GAGUUUGAUCGUGGCUCAGGAUGAACGCCGGCGGUGUGCCUAAUACAUGCAAGUCGUACGCACUGGCCCAACUGAUUGAUGGUGCUUGCACCUGAUUGACGAUGGAUCACCAGUGAGUGGCGGACGGGUGAGUAACACGUAGGUAACCUGCCCCGGAGCGGGGGAUAACAUUUGGAAACAGAUGCUAAUACCGCAUAACAACAAAGGCCACAUGGCUUUUGUUUGAAAGAUGGCUUUGGCCAUCACUCUGGGAUGGACCUGCGGUGCAUUAGCUAGUUGGUAAGGUAACGGCUUACCAAGGCGAUGAUGCAUAGCCGAGUUGAGAGACUGAUCGGCCACAAUGGAACUGAGACACGGUCCAUACUCCUACGGGAGGCAGCAGUAGGGAAUCUUCCACAAUGGGCGCAAGCCUGAUGGAGCAACACCGCGUGAGUGAAGAAGGGUUUCGGCUCGUAAAGCUCUGUUGUUGGAGAAGAACGUGCGUGAGAGU